rnacentral:rRNA from 1 species
CCUACGGGAGGCAGCAGUGAGGAAUAUUGGUCAAUGGGCGCGAGCCUGAACCAGCCAAGUCGCGUGAGGGAUGACGGUCCUACGGAUUGUAAACCUCUUUUGCCGGGGAGCAAGCGUGCGUUCGUGAACGCGCGUCGAGAGUACCCGGCGAAAAAGCAUCGGCUAAAUCCGUGCCAGCAGCCGCGGUAAUACGGAGGAUGCGAGCGUUAUCCGGAUUUAGUGGGUUUAAAGGGUGCGUAGGCGGGAUGCCAAGUCAGCGGUAAAAAUGCGGUGCUCAACGCCGUCGAGCCGUUGAAACUGGCGUUCUUGAGUGGGCGAGAAGUAUGCGGAAUGCGUGGUGUAGCGGUGAAAUGCGUAGAUAUACGGAGGAACACCAGUGGCGAAGGCGGAUUGCUGGACAGUAACUGACGCUGAGGCGCGAAAGCGUGGGGAGCAAACAGGAUUAGAUACCCGAGUAGUC